UACGGGGGGUGCGAGCGUUGUCCGGAAUUACUGGGCGUAAAGCGCGUGUAGGCGGUUGUCCAAGUUGGAUGUGAAAGCCUUGAGCUUAACUCAAGAAAUGCAUUCAGGACUGGAUGACUAGAGGACCGGAGAGGAUAGUGGAAUUCCCAGUGUAGUGGUGAAAUACGUAGAGAUUGGGAAGAACACCAGUGGCGAAGGCGGCUAUCUGGACGGUUUCUGACGCUAAGACGCGAAAGCGUGGGGAGCAAACAGG
rnacentral:rRNA from 1 species